CGCGAAUUCGCCCUUCGGGGUGCAGCAGGCGCGAAAACUUUGCAAUACACGAAAGUGUGACAGGGCUAUCCCGAGUGCCAUCCGCUGAGGAAGGCUUUUACCCAGUCUAGAACGCUGGGGGAAUAAGGAGAGGGCAAGUCUGGUGUCAGCCGCCGCGGUAAUACCAGCUCUCCGAGUGGUGUGGAUGUUUAUUGGGCCUAAAGCAUCCGUAGCUGGCUAAGUUAGUCCCUUGUUAAAUCCACCGAAUUAAUCGUUGGAUUGCGGGGGAUACUGCUUGGCUAGGGGACGAGAGAGGCAGACGGUAUUUCCGGGGUAGGGGUGAAAUCCUAUAAUCCCGGGAAGACCACCAGUGGCGAAGGCUGUCUGCUAGAACGCGCCCGACGGUGAGGGAUGAAAGCUGGGGGAGCGAACCGGAUUAGAUACCCGGGUAGUCCCAGCUGUAAACGAUGCAGGCUAGGUGUUUGGACGGCCACGUGCCGUUCUAGUGCCGCAGGGAAGCUGUUAAGCCUGCCGCCUGGGGAGUACGAUCGCAAGAUUGAAACUUAAAGGAAUUGGCGGGGGAGCAC
rnacentral:rRNA from 1 species